rnacentral:rRNA from 1 species
CCUACGGGUGGCAGCAGUGGGGAAUAUUGCACAAUGGGGGAAACCCUGAUGCAGCGACGCCGCGUGAGUGAAGAAGUAUUUCGGUAUGUAAAGCUCUAUCAGCCGGGAAGCAACAAGACGGUACCUAACCAAGAAGCACCGGCUAAAUACAUGACAGCAGCCGCGGUAAUACGUAUGGGGCAAGCGUUAUCCGGAUUUACUGGGUGUAAAGGGAGCGUAGGCGGCUGGGCAGGCCUGAGGUGGAAGCCCGGUGCUCAACCCCGGGACUGCAGUGGGAACUGCCCGGCUGGAGUGCCGGAGGGGCAGGCGGAAUGCGUGGUGUAGCGGUGAAAUGCGUAGAUAUUAGGAGGAACACCAGUGGCGAAGGCGGCCUGCUGGACGGUGACUGACGCUGAGGCUCGAAAGCGUGGGGAGCAAACAGGAUUAGAUACCCGAGUAGUC